rnacentral:rRNA from 1 species
AUUGAACGCUGGCGGCAGGCUUAACACAUGCAAGUCGAGCGAGGUGAUGGUGCUUGCACUAUCACUUAGCGGCGGACGGGUGAGUAAUGCUUAGGAAUCUGCCUAUUAGUGGGGGACAACAUCUCGAAAGGGAUGCUAAUACCGCAUACGUCCUACGGGAGAAAGCAGGGGAUCACUUGUGACCUUGCGCUAAUAGAUGAGCCUAAGUCGGAUUAGCUAGUUGGUGGGGUAAAGGCCUACCAAGGCGACGAUCUGUAGCGGGUCUGAGAGAAUGAUCCGCCACACUGGGACUGAGACACGGCCCAGACUCCUACGGGAGGCAGCAGUGGGGAAUAUUGGACAAUGGGGGGAACCCUGAUCCAGCCAUGCCGCGUGUGUGAAGAAGGCCUUAUGGUUGUAAAGCACUUUAAGCGAGGAGGAGGCUCUUUUGGUUAAUACCCAAGAUGAGUGGACGUUACUCGCAGAAUAAGCACCGGCUAACUCUGUGCCAGCCGCCGCAGUAA